CAGCCAGCGUCUUCUUGGCUGUAGUCUUGUGCAAGACUACUCCAAGCCAGGAGAGUACACAGGAAGCUAUAUUGUUGUCUCGGAAUUCAGAGUCACCCUCUCAGUCCUCCCAGGACUUGCCACCAGAGCCCCAGGAAGAUUUGUGCAGAGGACCAGACGGGACUCCUGGAUUCGACAGAGUGGUGGACCUGGCCAGAUACCUUGUUGAGCUGAGAGAAAAGCCUUGCGUCCCGGACAGGGAAGCCGCUGACAUUGUUCGGCUGUGGGACAGACUGCCGGACAGUGACAGACAGGGUGUUUCCUAUCCACUGAGACACAAGGACAGACUUUUGCAAAGCAGGUUCAAGGCCACCCACUCCAAAACCUCCACCUGCCAUGGAAAAGAGAGCCUGA